AGCUUUCGGCAAUGGAUCACUUGGUUCUGGCAUCGAUGAAGAACGCAGCGAAAUGCGAUAAGUAAUGUGAGUUGCAGAAUUCAGUGAAUCAUCGAAUCUUUGAACGCACAUUGCGCCCUCUGGUAUUCCGGAGGGCAUGCCUGUUCGAGCGUCAUAAUGACCAAAUCACCCCCGUGGUGGACUUGGAGUUGGCCUGUACUGGCCUCUCUUAAAAUCAGUGGCGGUGCUCUUUAAAGCUCUACGCGUAGUAAUUUUCUCGCUACAGGGUCUUGAUUGUACUUGCCAACAACCCCAACUUAUUAUAAGGUUGACCUCGGAUCAGGUAGGGAUACCCGCUGAACUUAAGCAUAUCAAUAAGCGGAGGC
rnacentral:misc_RNA from 1 species